ACGGAAGGCAGCAGUGGGGAAUAUUGGACAAUGGGGGAAACCCUGAUCCAGCGACGCCGCGUGAGUGAAGAAGUAUUUCGGUAUGUAAAGCUCUAUCAGCAGGGAAGAUAAUGACGGUACCUGACUAAGAAGCUCCGGCUAAAUACGUGCCAGCAGCCGCGGUAAUACGUAUGGAGCAAGCGUUAUCCGGAUUUACUGGGUGUAAAGGGUGUGUAGGCGGCGAAGUAAGUCAGAAGUGAAAGACCGGGGCUCAACUCCGGGGCUGCUUUUGAAACUGCAUUGCUGGAGUCCAGGAGAGGCAGGCGGAAUUCCUAGUGUAGCGGUGAAAUGCGUAGAUAUUAGGAAGAACACCGGUGGCGAAGGCGGCCUGCUGGACUGGUACUGACACUGAGGCACGAAAGCGUGGGGAGCAAACAGGAUUAGAUACCCUGGUA
rnacentral:rRNA from 1 species